CAAACAUACCUUGUAAAGCUAUUUCCCACUUUACUUCUGAUAGACUGUCUUGAAUUUCGUUAGAAAGUUCAAGGCCAGACGUACCUUGUAAAGCUAUUUCCCACUUUACUUCUGAUAGACUGUCUUGAAUUUCGUUAGAAAGUUCAAGACCAGACUUACCUUGUAAAGCUAUACUUACGGGUACCCUGUUCCCCAGCUGAAGAGUUCUGAAUUCACGCAGUUGAAUCCUUCUCAACAGUCUGUUUUGCGGGAACACUUCAUUACCACCGUUCCCCAGCUGAGGAGUUCUGAAUCCAGGCUGGAUCCUUCUCAACAGUCUGUUUUACGGGAACACUUCAUUACCAUGACCCGCAGUUCUGGUUCCGGAAUGAGGGAUCUUCCAUGCUCCGGUGAUGGUAACCGUCCCGGGUUUUCUUGUCCCGGGUUUUCUCGUCCCAGGUCUUCUCGUCCCGGGUCUCAGCACCAACUCUUACACGCGUUCUCGCGACCGGCCAGGAAAGACGCAGCAAACCAGAAUCUUCUGCGGCAAAAGCUUUAUUGCUUACAUCUUCAGGAGCCAGAGAGCAAGAGAGCAAGAGCGAGGGCAAGAGCGCAAGAGCUUUAUUGCUUACAUCUUCAGGAGCAAGAAGCAAGAGCCAGAGCAAGAGAGAGAAUGGCAAAACCCCGUCCCUUUUUUUUUUUUUUUUUUUCUGAUCAAGGCUCAAAUUUUAUUGUUGCGACACUAGUUAUCGUCCCUUUUAAGGAGAAUUAUCCUCUGCCUAGGACGUGUCGCUCCCUGAUUGGCUGCAGCCCAUCGGCCGAGUUGUCGUCACAGGGAAGGCAGAGCACAUGUAGUGGAAAACUACCCUUGGCACAUGCGCAGAUUAUUUGUUUACCACUUAGAACACAGGAUGUCAGCGCCAUCUUGCAACAGCGAAUGUGAGGGCGGCUCCCUACACAGAUCUGAGGUUUCAAGGGUUGCUAGGGGAAGAGGCAGGUACAAUUUCCCCAACUAACUCACAGGUCAAGGCAGUCUCCCUCUGCGGCAGGCUUGUUGAGUACUUCCAUAACAGUCCACUCUGGCAGAAGCUGACAGUUCCCACAUGCGAUGGGGAAACUGGGCAAGUCUGGCAGCUUCUGGCUUGGCCCAGGGUUCUUUCUUUUUGGCUACUUAAGCCAAAACAAGGGGCCUCCCAGACACAGUUGGGGGUAGCGAGCAUAGAGCUCUGAGCUGUUUCAGAGUGGCUGCUGUGCUGGGGGGCCUGUCGAUAGUGAGCUUGCUCUGCCAGAGUCCACUUAAGAAAUCCCCUUCUUGUAAAAUAAUGCAAAUAUUUUUAUUUUGGUGAGUGUGGACCAGUGGGGGUGUGGAAGGAGGCAUCUCCCUGGGUCCAUGGAUGGGCUCCGUGAGGUCCAUGGGGCCCAAGAGAAGGCAGGCCCAACAGCUUGCUCAAUAAGCUGUAGCCUAGAGUGGGCAAUGCUUCCUGGAACUGGGGACAGACAGGAGGCCAGAGCACUGUCCCAUAGUGUACUGGGCAGAAACAGAAGGCCUAGGUGUGUGUUGUGGGGAGGGGGGCAGGCAGGGGCCAGCUUAGUUUCCUCGCCUGUAAAGUCAGGGUAGCCAGUCACUCGUGCACAGGAUCACUCUCGGAACUUGUAUCUUGUGAGACAGAAGGGCACGCCUACGGCCCUGAGAACCCACAAGCAAGAAGAGAGCAGAGCACCUGCUCCUGUGCCGAUGUCCAGCAGAGAGAGAGCAAGGAACAGAAUUAAUGCACAGCUAAUUAAUAUGACAUCCAAGAGCUUGGGCAUGGCACAGAAAGGGGCGGGGGGGUGGAAGGAUAAUGUGGCAGGGAGGAGGAGGGCGAGGAGGGUGAGAAGGAGGCAGCUGCUGCCUUGGAGCUUGGGCAGGCCUCCUCCACUCUGAACUGGACCAGGAGGAAGAGGGGCAGCCAUGUGAGUGUGAGAGAAGCAGUCAGGCAGAGGGGACAGGACGCAAGCUUCGGCCUACCUGCCUGGUUAUCCAGGGGUGUGUUAGAGGCAGGAGUUAGAUGGAUUUAGACCUCUAGCCAGCCUCUGGCUCAGCCAGGCCCUGAGAGGGCUCAGUCUCCCAAGCAGAAGGCAGAGACUCGGGGGUACACACUGCUGGUGUGUGGGGCAUAUGUGGCAGAGGUAGGUAGAGGAUGGGAGGGAGCGGGGACAGAGACAGGUCUGGUAGCUGGUCUCUUCUCUGUGAAAUAUAGGGGUUCUGAAGACUGGGAGGCUCCCCAGUGACUGACUAACUCUUGUCUUCUGGUACUCUUGGUAUGCUAUGGUUCCCACUAGGACUUCAUAGCACUAGCUAGCAGCCCAGGAGCGGGGCCCAUCAAGGCGGCUCAGUGGGUAGCAGAGACUUGGCCGGACACUAUUGAUUAGAUGAAUAUGGUGAUGUGGCUGAGAAGGUGAAAGAGAAGGCAGUCCCAGUAGCCCAAGGCCCAGAGGAGGAAAAACUAGGAGCCUGAUCCAGAGAGAAAGAGGGGACCCAGGGUAGGCUGGCCAAGGUGACAUUUGCUUGGUGGUGUCUGCUAGGUACUGUCGUGGCAGGUGGCCACGUGCCUCACUACUCCUCCGGGUCCCUAAAGCCCAGAUGCUUGGCCUGUUCCGUGGUGGGUACCAAUACCUUGUCUUUAAUGUAUAUUAGUAUCCCAAGAGGAAACGGAGAUGCAAAAUGUUUGUGUCUGCUUGAACAGACAUUAAAUGAGAUAUAGUCACUGAGCUUCUAAUCAGCAGUCAGGAAUUCCCACAAGGCACUUGUGUUGCUGAGAAAGAAUAAAAAGCAUUUAUUUAGUGCCUACUGUGUACCCUCUUUCCACUGGUGGCUACCAACAGUUUAUGCCCUACCCAUUACCUGUUCAAGGGGGAUAAGCCGCCAUGGGAUAUACAAUUUGUUCAGAGACAACCUUGUCAGUAGCUGGGUACAGAAGUAGUGUGUGACUCUGGUGUCCCCUGCUGCUCCAGCUGAGCCAAAGCAGGGAGAUAGGCCCAGUAUGGUGUCUAUAGGGAGGAGAAACAGGACCGUGGUUGGGUGCCAGAGGAUAUAGUCAUCUAUAGUCCUAAUGCCCCCCACCUCCCACCCCCGGGCUCACUAUCCUGGUGCACUGAGGCACAGAUGCUAGUCUUGAAGGUAGAGAGGCUAUCUCAUAGGAGGAGAGGAGACGGGGGAGUCUAGGACGAUCCUAAUCUUGGGUGGGUGGCUGCUCCUGGCUCUAAGAGCUAGAAUGCCCCCUCUGGAGCUGUUCAGCUCCCCAACUUCCCAGGGCCCUCCCCAUUUGCCUUCUGUGGCACUUCCCAUAUGAGCUCUAUCGGGUUUCUGAACCCUGGGCAAGCCACAUGAGCAGGUGACAGUAGUGGGUGACUGGCAUCCCCACUGCUGGCAGCCAAGGCCUGAGACAGAUACCCCCCACCGCACCCCCAUGCCUCCAGCUUCUCCACUGCACUAUGAAGUGAGCGCCCUCUGUACUGUGGUCACACAAAGCCCGGAGCUGGAGCCUGCUCCGGAAGCAGAGAGGUUUGUUUUGGCUCAUGGAUCUGGAAGUUGAAGUUCAAGACUGGGCAGCCUUGUUGGUUUGGGCCUCUCAGAAGGGCACACAGUUUGGGGGUGCGGGAGUGGGGGGGGGGCUCACGGGACAGUGAGCAGUUCAUCUCUAGCCAGAAAGCAGAGAGUCCUACCCAGGCCUGCCUUGCUCUCUGAGGACGCCCCACCUCCGGCCCCCAUGUGCAGCUGUUCUCACAGGCCCAACUCUCAAAGGUCUGACCGCACAGUCCAGUCUUGCUCUCCUGAGCUCCUAGCCUUUAAUACUUGGACUUUUGAGGACACUGUCCAUAGUUAGACCAAAGCAGCAUGCAUCUUGUGGGAUCUUUGGGGGGUGGGGGGUGGGGGAAGGGUGGCAGUUAGAAAUGGAUAUAACAUUUUAGAUCCUGAGCCUAAUGCCUGCUACAUAGUAAGUGCUCAAUAAAAAGUGAGCAGCGCCUGCAGGGUUUAGUGUAGAGGGGACAUAGAUGACCUCUAACCUGUCAUUCUAGCCUGGGGUGCCUGCCCAGGGCCAAGCUCCUGGUGCAACCCUGGUCCCAACCUUUCUGCAAACACCCACCCUUAGCGGACACCUGUGCUUCAUUCUGUGGAUCUGACAUGCCUUACUGCUUGGCCCUCCUCUUCUCCACUGAGGCUCCAUGACUCCCUGUGCCUGUUCCCAUCUGUUCCCUACCCACCCACAGAACAGUCCCAGGGAGAAGACUCCCUCUAGUUGUCCUCAGUGUGGUCCGGCCAAGAUCCCAGUUUCUCAGAGGGGCCCUGCUGGUAGGGAAUAGACUCUGUGAGUGCCCUGUCUUCCACAGCUCUCAGAUCUUGACACUAGAAUAACACCCCCCGCCCCCCAUCAUGUUUUCGGUAUAUCUCCUGAAGGAAAGGAAAAGAAAGCCCAGAAGCAGAAAGGCCGGCCAGGCCAGCAGUCUGCGUGGAGAACCAAAUGCGUGCAUGUUCUACCAGUUGGAUAAUGCACUUCCUAUUCCAGUCCCACCCCAACCUCUGACCCCUGACCUCUGACUCCUGACCAGAGGGAAGAAGCCUGGGGUUAGUCAGCGUACCUCCUACAAAGAUAGGACCUCGCUGCUAAUGCUGGAGUUUUUCAUGCUUCUCUGGACAGUGCCCUCCCCCCGGUGGUAGCAACAAGGCAAACUCCCCCCCGACCCCCAGCUCCCUGGCUGCCCCGGCCAAGGCCUGCCAGGGUACCCUGCUAAUUACACUGCCUUCUUGGUACCACUGCUGGCCCUGGAAGCAAAGGAAGACACUCUGAGUCUAUGGCAGUGCCUUGUCAGGUAAAAGGGGACUACAGCCAAGCCUACAGGGCCAGUGCAGUGUGUAUGUGUGUGUGGGCUGCCAGCAGGGAGCCUAUCUAUGCCUACCUGGGCUGUGGCAAGUGGCUAGCCCUCAGGUUCCUCCACCCUGUCGACCCCAGCUGGAGGCAAACUAGAGUGAUGGCUGCCAUCUUGUACUAGGAGGACGAAGCUGCACAGUGAGAAUCGUGAAGGGGACCAGGUGUCAGUGACAUCCCAGCACCAGCGCUGGAUAGUCUCACAUCACAAGGGAAGCCAAUGCUUCUUUCUAUCUGUUUCCUAGGUGUGUAGGGGGCGGGGGAUUACAGGCAAAUUUGAUCCUGACACAGAGAUGCGACCCCUGUUCUCUCCCUUCUGUUUUCCGUGCUGAUGUUCCAUGGGAGGCCAGUGUAAGUCAAAGCCUCUAGCGGCUCUUUAGAGAGGGCAAGAGUGUCAUUGAUCCAGGCAAUGGAGGUAAGGGUGAAAGCAAAAGGCUUUGGGAGUGCUUGUUAGUACAGGGUGGGGCGGGGCGUGGGGGGGGUGGCCCCCCCCCCCAGCUUUCCUGGGAGCAGGGAUGAGAGCAGGAAGCAGGCAGAUCAGGGUGAGGUCACUAAAAGCAGCAGGCCAGUGGUGCGGCAUCUCCCAAGCCUUCCCCACUCCUCUCUUCUCUUAACCCUGCUUUCUCUGAGUCUUGGUUGCAAAGUGUGACUGCUCAGGGAGUUCACUGAACAAACUAAUUUGCAAGUGCAGAACAAAGAACAAGAGAUACUUUGUCCUAGGUCAAAAGGAAAGGAAACAAAAUGACAAGUGUGUGUGUGUAUGUGUGUGUAGGGGGACUGUCAGAACUUUCGAGAACUCUGAGGAACUUCAAAAGUAUUUCUACAUGACUUGCUGUCUGGCUGCCAGCCUCACACAAUGCCCCUUCUUCCUGCCUCUGAUAGACCCAGUGACUGUGUGGCCCCUAACAAGAGUUUCUGAGACCCAAACAGGAACAAUAUACUUUGCAGGUUAAGAUUUCUGUUUGUAGUUAAAGACUAAGUUCCUAUUUGUCCUAUGUUAGGUUCUUGCAAGUCGAAGUUUCUGUUUGUAAUUCCCAAGUUCCGUUUCUUAGCUCUGAUUUACAUCAGUACAAAACAUAAUUUUCUACCUACACUAAACUUGGGACCCUGUUCACUGGAUCCCUGUUCACUGGAUGUAAUUACCCUGUUCCUUCACUUUCCUGGUAUCUUUCUAACGAUGUAUAACAGGCAACUCUCCCUACCCUGUAAACACCUUAUCUCUCCUAUAAAAGGGACUUCAAGAGGCCAGUGGGGUCCCUUGGGUCAGUGGGCUGAAUCAGAGUGAGACAGCUGGCUGGCCAGACCAGGGUCCACCCCAAACAUAGCUUGUUUGACUUGGACAGUUGAGAAUUUCGUCUUUUCUCCGUUAGGGAAUAGUGGAUCAGUCUUUUGCUUGCACCGGGCUGGUGCAGAUGUUUCUCUCCCACAGCUAUGACCUCAGUUUCCACAGACACCCACAAUACCCCCUUGCCCCCAGCUGCCCCCUCAUGGGCUGAACUUGAUUCUAGGAGCUUUCACUCAUAGACUGCCAAACCUCUCUCUCUCUCUCUCUCUCUCUCUCUCUCUCUCUCUCUCUCUCUCUCUCUCUCUCUCUCUCUCUCUCUGUGUGUGUGUCUAUAUAUAUACAUACCCCACCCUGCUUUCUAGCUCUUCAGAACCCAAUGCCCCUUGAGUAGCAGGAGGAGGUGGGACAAUGGCCCUCUGAGAAGGUGCUCUGAGGAAAAGAGGCCAGGAGCAGAGGGUCAAGGCCCCCUAUGUCUUGUGGGAUGCUGUCUUGUGUACCCUACAGCUGUCUCCUCUCAGAUUCUCACCAAACAGUCCCUACUGUGACUGCCUCUCAGAGGAGGCUGCAGAUGCUGCUGCUGUUGCCCAAAGGAGGCUGUAGUCCUGUCAACUCCCCCGUCUUUGCCACAAUAGCUGUUUUGAAGAAAGGACUAUCUCCCUCAGCCCCCUCAGCUGCCAUAGCCCCCCUGCCUGAGCAUCCUGACUUUAUCUGCUCCUCCUCCAGCAGCUCAGGGCCAGGUUUACUAUCUGUGGGCAGCCUGGGGCUCUGAGCCUCUGUGGCCUCCAGGUAGAACAUGGGUACCAGCUCCCAAGCCCUGGGCAUCAUGGGCCAGCCCUGCAGGAGAACAGCUUUAAUGACCUUAUGAGCAGUAAUUACACCCCAGGGUCCAUCUUAAUAACCAGUAUUCCCCGUCAGUGGGCCUUAAUUGAAAAUGAGUAGGCGACACAAGUUUCUGUGAAGUUGGCUGGCAAGCCCUUAACGUGAUAUUAAUUGUAGUAAUUAGUAGUCACUUUGUGUUGGAGUCAUCUAUAAAUAGAGGGCCCAUUAGUUUAGCAAAAGAGCAUGAUUUAAAACACAAACAAAAGCCCAAUUAGUCAGCUAAAUCACUCAUCUUUUUGAGCAGAUCCCCUGGUUGUAGCUAGACUAGCAGCAAUCUAAGGGCACUGGUCAGUUUAAGGAUUCUGAAGGCACACCCACUGCAGUGGCCCAACCACACAGCACUGUCUCUUUAAAUAGGCCUGCCCCAGGAGGUGCUGGUCCUUGGAAGGUUCCAACAGACUCUUACUUUAUUGGCACAGGUAGCUGUCACAUUUCUCCCUCUGCUUUCUGAUUGGUUUCCCCCCAGAAGCACAAAAGAACUUCUUAAAGGUACAGUUGCACCAUGCACAGCCAGACUCUGGGAGAAUGAAUGGGUGGUGAAGGGCAGUGGGGCGGGCAUCUCUCCUGAAAUGCAGCUCUGGACGGUCCAGACAGAAUGACCCACCAAUGCCAAGUGCCUCGGGACCCAAACAGACUUGGGGAGCACAGUAUUCCUCAGACUUGAGGGCACACAUUUAAGGUGGACCCAGUAUUCUUCACAGCCUUGAGAGGGAACACAUUUGAGGUAGACUCAGCAUUUCCCACAGUCAUGAGGCACAAGUGUAAAGUGGCAUGGCCCCGAAUAGAAGGUGGCGGGUGUGGAGAGGACUCAGGUGCAAAGUGAGGCAGCUAGAUUCCCAGCACUUCCUGUUUGGGGAAACACACAGGUCUGUGUGUGUGUGUGUGUAUGGGUGUAUGGGGUGGGGGCUGCUGCCAAGAUGCUACCACCUGGGCACAGGUCCCGCCAGGUGAGGCAGACUACCAGAGACCUGGUGCUCUGAGCAAUCUUGCAAGCCCUUCCCUGAGCUGCUCCUGCCUGCCCCCGCCCCGCCCCCACUCCUGUGCCGACCACUGGGGUUGCUCUUGAUGAAAUUUGCAUUUUAUCAGAGAUACAGCCACAAGAUGUAGCAGCCAUUUCUGAGCAUAGUAAGAAAAGUUGUCUGCUCCCCCUCAUCCGAGAAUGAGAGCAGCACAGCACGCGUGGGCCGCCCUUGUCCUUCCUUAUACUCUUUUUUUAUAUCACUCAGUACUUACAACAGGUGGCCAGGCUUGCUAUUUUGAAUGUCCUAUUUGACAAAAUAAAACAUUGGCAACCCUAUGUUGGUCCCGAAAAUAUCUUGUGGAGAUUUUUGCCAGGGGAUGAAAUCCAAGUGUCUGGGACUGUUGAGCUAAACGGCGGAGUCAGGAACUUGCGGCAGAGUGAGUCAUAGCUAUAUAGCUUUAUUCAUGGAGGAUGAUUGUGGGGUGGGGGUGGGGGGGUGGGGGUGGGAGGUGGCGUGAAAUGUGGACAUUUAUUGACAUGUUUCCCACGAUGAGAGCUGAACAUAGAUAAAGAACUAUGUGGAGUUGUGGGGGCCAUCCUGCCCAACUUGCUGUGAGUCUUAUCAUGAGUGCGGAAACUUGUAGCGGUGUUUGCUACUUUGUGGGUUCUUCCUUUUUCCACCCUUUCAACCCCCUAACAGUAUAUAGGGGAGGAAAAAGGCUUGAAAGGAAAGAGUUAUCUACUGGAAGAUUUCUUUUGAGGAUUAGGAGGGUAGACUGGAGCUCCUUGGGGCAAGUUUAAGCUUCACCAUCCAGAUAGCUGAUUUCUUCUUCUUGUUGGUUCUUCUUUGUGCACAACUACUUACAAACCCCAACCACCAACAGCCAACAACAACCAACCAACAAACCAACAACAACUCACUCUGCCUCUCGGGGCCAUAGCAUUUAUAUACCCUCCAAAAAGUCUCCAGAAUUCCAAACGUCACACAAUUUAUCUGUAGCUGGCAAAAUCACGCCCCUGCUAGAGCACGAGGCAAAUCCAAGUCAGCUGCUGUGGACAGCCUGAAACUAGCCCUAUCCCUCACCUGGGACCAAAACAAAAACAUUCUUACAAUACAAAAUGCCAAAACUGUCACUAUAAAACAGAGGCUCAGCCCGGGAGAGAACAGUGCCAAGCCUUGCACGGCGAUUAGAUAGAUAGCCCAGGCUCUCCUCGCCACUACUUGCCGGUAGCCUAGCUGCCCAGGUCCUGCAGGAAGCUAGGACAGCGGAACCUGUGUCACUUCCUGGAAACGCAAAAAUCUGACACAGUUGAUAACCAGUCACAUCAUAUGCAAAAAUUAGCUCUUAAGUCAGGCAGGGAUACAGCUUGGUUGUAGAGCACUUGUUAAACCCAAGUAAGGCCCCAGGUUCAAUCCUCAGUACUGAUUAAAGGGAGGAAGAAAAAAAUUAAAGACAUAUGUAAGAGCCAAAAUUAGAAAAGUAUAGUCACCAUGAUGUCUGCUCUUGUUCCUCCUGAAGGUCCCUCAAAGGUCAAUGUGUUAAAAUGCUUGUUCCCAGCUUGCCUCUAGUCUCAGUGUUGUUAAGAGAGAGGAGCCUGGAGGGCUCCUUUGAGUCAUUGGGGGUGUUCCCUCCAGGGCAGUGUGAGGAUCAAAUCUCAAAGCCUUUGUACUUCUGGGCCAGGAGGGAAUGGUUUCUCACCUCAGCAUACUCCCACCCAUGAUGAGUGGUCCACCUCAACAGAGGUCUAAAAACAACACAGCCACCUAGCUGAAGGUUGCAGCCUCUAUAGAUGUCAAAAUAAAAAAAAAAAAAUUGAUCUGUUCUUAUUCAGUAAAACAAGCCUUGAACUUCUUACUCUCCUGCCUCUCCUUCCUGAGUGCUGGGAUUACAGAAUUGUACCAUCACACCCGACUUACAAGUCGGCUACUGGGGUAUUUGUUGUCAUGGCAGGAAGCUGGCUGGCGGCCUCAGAUCUGGUGAUGGAAUCUCAGUUGUGAGGGCACAUGACGGCACUGGUGCCCAAGAAAAGAGACAAAGCCAACGGUGUGGGAAUUAAAAAAAACUUGUGCUUCAAAGAUUCAAGAACAAGAAGACAAUGUGCAGAAAAGGUGACGCUCUCUGCAAAUUGCACCUCUUAGCAGUGGACUCUGUCUGAUAUCAAGGACUCUGAGGACUCAAAAAAGACAAGAGAUAAAUGAUUUAAGCAGAAAUGUCUUCAGCGUCUAAAUGGCAGUCAGAUCUGGUCCACCAUGAAACAUCAUUAGCCUCCAAGGGAGUGAAAUCAAAGCCUCAGUGAGAUGCCACCUUACACUGGGAUGGGCAAUCUCGAACCUUCUAGAAGGACUGGUGAAGUAGAAGGAUCUGAACCUCCCUCCUUGGGUGGAAUUUGACAAGACCUCUAGGGGAGGGGUCUGGAAGUUCCAGAACAGUCACAGGCUGAGGAACCCCACCCACCCCUUGGUGGACGCCCACAAGAACGGAAAGCUUACGUCUACACGGCUUCCUUUCGAUGCCAGGUGGAACAGCACAGAGGCAAAGUGGCGCUCAAGCUGAGACCUCACAGAUAGGAAGUGGUCAGCCAGGCAGAGAACAGGAAGAAGUCUGGGAUGCACUGGCAGCUGUGGCGGCAACAGCACCAACAGCAGCAGCCUCCUCUGCCACAGCCACCACCACAGCAGGAGUGAACUCACACCUGAGGUCCCACAAAGUGGUUGCUGGAGGACUCAGGAGAAGGCUGGUAAGAUCUGCACUGAGGAACCCGUGAGGACCCGAAGCGCAAGCCUGGCGAUAGCAUGGCCAUAGGGAUGAGAGGUGAAUGUGAGGGACAAGGACUCCAUGGGACACAAAUGCCAGGCAGCAGCCUAAAGUGGGGCUAACUUGCCUAUGAACUCUUAGCCUCAAGAAUGCUGGGUAAAUGUCUUAACCUCUGUGACUAUGAAAUGGGAGCCAACUAACUCCCUGUGGCAAGAGGUUCUGAGACCUGUACUGACAGACGGGAGGGCCAAAAGAAGCUGGGUGAGAAGGCCCAGGUGUUUGUUAGCUUAGGGUGGUCACACUAGGCUCCUCCCAGCCACCUAGCAACAACUUAUGUCAUCACUUGCCUCUGUAUGGGCAACUAAUAAACGACUGCUCUCAGGUCUUCAUGCAGGUCCCUCAACCAACUGGAGCCAGGGCUGUUCCUGAGCCUAAUGUCUACCUGCCAGCCUGUGGGUCCCUUGACUGGCCUCAGUGAGGAUGUGUCUAGUCCCAUAGCAAAUGAUGUAUGGGCUGAGGGGGUGGGGAGCCUGGGGGUGACACCCAGAGGAGGGGGUUCUAUUAGAUCUGUCAGAGGUGGGUGGGACUUCAUCCUCCCUGCAAUACUAAUGGUCACAUCAGGAGUGCUGGGGACCAGCCGAGCAGCAAUGUGCCUUUAUUAACAAGGCAGUACCAGCUGGUCUCUGUGAUGUCAGCAGUGGCAACUGAGAGGAGCCAGCACCAGGCCAGGGGCAGGUGUGACAGAGGCAGGGGAAGCCAGGCCACAGGCCUCUCUCUCAGCCUUACUUGGCCUCUGACCUGCUCCCUCCAUUCUCUGCCACUUGAGGAAGUUUCUCCUGGGGCUGCGGCCUGCCCCUUUGGGCUGUGCCUGCGACGGGAAUCUGCCCACUCUUAACUGUCAGGCCUGAUGCUUCACUGCCCUAACAACACAGAGUCCCCUAGGGAGUGCCAGCCUGCAGGGAGGAGACCCUUGCUGGACACCAGUGUCUGUGGGUGUCCCCAAGCACUCCGUAUGCAGCUCCCCGGCGCCAGCCCUGUCACCCACCUGUCCCUGCUCCCCCCCACCCCGGGGAAGGCGCCCUCUAUGGGCCAUCCACUCAAGCUGAGUCAACUGCCUUAGCCAGGUUUAGAGUAGAAGAAACCCAGGCAGAGAUGGAAUGAGUGGCUUAUACACAGACACAGGGAGCAGGGGCUGAGUGCUUAGCAGCUCCGCAGAUAACAAUGUCUGAGAAACCAGAGCACAGCCAAGCUCUCUUCCCAAAGAGCAGCCACUCACCCUGAGGUGCAGAAGCUGUGAAAGAAGGAAACAACAUGGAGAUCAAGGCUCAGAGGGCUCCCUUUCCUCACCAGUGGGCUUUCAAGACACAUACUGAUACCCAAGCUACUGACGGGGAACCUGAGUCUGGGCAUACUGAGUCCCAAGCCACUGUAGUUAUGAGCUAGGGGUGAGCCCAGACAUGAGACUGCAGAUGUGUGUGUGUGGCGGGGGAGGGGUAUGGGACUGUGUGUGUGUGUGUGUGUGUGUGUGUAUGUGUGUGUGUGUGUGUGUGUGUGUGUGUGUGUGUGUAGGGAAAGCAUCUCUCCUCGCUGCAAGCUUUGAUGCAUGUCCGUCACAAGUGGGCCAAGAAUGUUGGGGUGGGGGUGGGGGUGAGAGUCGGGGUAUGUUUGCUCUGAGCCUACCUGGGUCCCAGCCUGACCUAAAUCCUUCAGAGUAAAGCUAGUGGCCUGACUCUGCCACUGCCUAUGGUGACACCAACAUGGCCGACACAGGGCAGCAGGGCGGGUGUCGUGUGUUGUGUGUUGGCAGGAUGUCCUCUGACUCAGGCCUGGACUCUCCAGCUUAGGCACCGAGGUGCUGGGAUCAGGGGACCUGCCCUAGGGGAUAGGCGGUAAAUCAGUGGUAUCCGAGAUGGAGGAGCCACCUAGGCCAUUGUCACACCCUGGACCUGUCCCCACACUGCUGCCGGCCACAGAUGGGUAGGGAAAAGUCUGAGAUUUGUCACUCCCAAAUGCAAGUGCAAAAUCACCUUUUACUUACAUGUGGCUUUGUUGGAGUGGGUGUGUCACUGUGGGGUUGGGCAAUGAGACCCUCCUCCUAAACAUGUGGGAGCCAGUCUUCUCCCUUGCAGCCUUCAGAUGAAGAUGUAGAACUCUCAGCUCCUCCUGCACCAUGCCUACCUACCUGGAUGCUGCCAUGUACCCACCUUGAUGAUAAUGGACUGAACCCCUGAACCUGUAAGCCAGCCCCAAUUAAAUGUUGUCCUUUAUAAGA
rnacentral:lncRNA from 1 species